rnacentral:tRNA from 1 species
CAGAGGAUAGUUUCAUUUAAAACACCAGUUUUGGGAACUGGAGAUCGAGGUAAAGCCUUGUCCUUUGA